GAAAUGCGAUAAGUAAUGUGAAUUGCAGAAUUCAGUGAAUCAUCGAAUCUUUGAACGCACAUUGCGCCCGCCAGAAUUCUGGCGGGCAUGCCUGUUCGAGCGUCAUUUCAACCCUCGAGCUCCCCUUGCGGGGGGAGCCCGGCGUUGGGGACGCGGCGCCAAACAGCGCCGGCCCCGAAAUGGAGUGGCGGCCCGUCCGCGGCGACCUCUGCGUAGUAACAUCCACUCGCACCGGGACCCGGGCGCGGCCACGCCGUAAAACACCCCACCUUCCGAAUGUUGACCUCGAAUCAGGUAGGAAUACCCGCUGAACUUAAGC
rnacentral:misc_RNA from 1 species